AUGUCCACACAAGGAAUGAAAUGUCAAACGUUGUCCAAUUCCCUGCUGAAACAGGAGGGAGAGAGCAGAUCUUCCCGGGAUACACCUUCAGGCUCUACAAACUAUAAUGCCAAAGGAAGCAAAUGGGCCAUCUCUACCAAUUUUGAGACUUUGUGUAACCUAACAGCUGGUUCAAGUGGAAAAAGCUCCAGAGACCCAAGUCCAAGGCGAGAGAUGACUACCUCUUUGGAACAAGAUAAAGACAAGUAUGAUAAAAGCAGGAGGCGGGAAAUGAAAAAUGAGAAAAUGGGAAGCAAAGGAGGAUACAACGACACAGAGCCGAGGAGACAUGUUGAAAGUGAAAGAAUUUCCGAUUCUCGUCUUAGAGAUGCUGAGUGGGUAGUGAGAGAAAGAAAGCCAGAAUAUGAUGCAAGCAAACAAGACAUGAAGAAAAAGAGGAAGAAGGGUGACACGUUUCCCAGAAUUAAAAAUGGAGACCGAGAUCCUGAUCCCAGAGUAAUGCCUCCUGAGAUGGAAAAAGAAAGGCGGCAUGGACAUCGACCCAAAAGAGAGGAAACACAGUUUUGGGAGGAAAAAAUUGAUAAGCAUAAGAUCAGGAUGAGGAGAAAGGAAGAUGGUAAAAGUCCAGGAAGAAGACCUACAGAAGAUGAGAGAGCACAAAAGAGGGAACUAUAUAAGAUGUCUGGGGUAGAGUUUCGGGACACAACAAGGGAGACGAUUGAUCGACAGGACAUGAGAGACAGAGUAGCAGCUAGAAGAAGAGAAGAUAUGAGACUUGACUUGGAUGAAAGGAAUGCCAGAAUGAAUUCACAACAGAGAACAGAAAGAGAGAUGUAUGGGAGGACUCAGGGAAGGACAGUUGCAAAGAGUGAAGGAGACAUUGAUGAGAGAAGAGACAAAAUGAGAGACAGAAGAGGGGAAGAGGGGGACUACAUGAGCAAAAUGCAACAUAACAGGGACAGAGAUAGACACAGUGGCAGAGGAACAGAAGCGGAAAGACCCAGAAGGAAAGAAGAGGCCACCUUUGACAGAUGCACAGAGACUGACCGGAGAAUAGCAAGACAGGUAGACAAAGAGAGAGAGAGACAAAUGGAAACUCGAAAAGACUUCAGUGGUUACAGAAGAGAAGAUGAUCAAAUCCGAAGGGAGAGGAGAGCCAGGGAAAUGCUUGAAAGGCGGGAACACGCAACGGCAGAGAGAAGGAACAGAUCCACAAGUGAUCCAGAUCCAAGAGUGCCACCGCGAGUCCAAAGCAACAGAGAGUUGACCAGCAGCAAGGAUGGUGAGAAUAUUAGAAGAGACAGAGCUUUUUAUGAGGAGAGGGGUCCAAUGACAAAUUGGGCUGCUGAAAUAGAAAGAAUCAAAGAAAUCCCCAAAAAGCAUAGAGGAGGAAACACGAGGAUUGAGCAGGAGCGGAGAAGGAUGUGGUUAGAGCCACAGAAGGACAGAAACAGUGCUGAUGAAGACAGAGAAAGGUAUAGAAGGUGGAAAGACAGAGAAAGAGAGAAAGAGAUGGAUGUCAAGUCACAGGCAGAAAGGGCAAGAGAUGUGCAACGAAUAAAAGCAGAACCAAAUGAGAGGGACUUUGACCAAAGGAGUCACGAAGGAAGGCAUGGAGGAGCGAAUGGGAAUGAUGAGAGGACUGAAAAUGGGAGAAAAACAUUUAGAGAAGGGAAGGGAUAUCUGUCCGACAGUGACGGAAGGACAGGAAGAAAGCUGCAGGGGUGUGUGGAGGGAGAGAAUGUGGUAGAUGACAACAAGGAGAGUGGCACAGAGGAAGAGGGAGGGGGUGAUUACUUAGUGCGCUCCGGUAGCGAAGGAGGAAGUGAUGCCGGCUGGAUGCAAGACAGGGACAGAAUGCUGUCAGUAGAGAACAGCUCUGGUGGAGAUGAAGAGGAUGAAAGAGAAGAGGAGGAUAAAAAUGUUUUGUGUGAGGAUCCCACUUCUGCUAGUUCCAAAAGUUUUGAAGGGGAUGAGAGGAAAGAAGACUGGGUGACGAAGAAGAAAGUGACUGAUGAGGAUGAACAAGGUAGGCAACAGAAUUCAAACAUUAUUUUCAGUGUGACUGGGCAAAGUCAUCCUCAGUCAGAAGCCACCCAGUUGUCAUUGUCAGAAAAUGACGAGGUGGGUGGAGCAGAAAUAGAUGAAGCAAAUAUGGAAAAACAUACUCAACGUAGUCAUGAUAUCACACAUGAAAAUCCUCAGCUGACAUCAAGCGAAACAGAUGAGCAGCCAGUUUUAACCAACAGAGAUAAAGAAAGCGACCACAGCACAUCAAGAUUCACCACAGAAGAUGCUAAAGAAGACGUUCAAUGCGAAGCAUCCCAAAAGCUCCAAGAUGAAGAACUCGGAGGCGGAAACAAGAGCAAAGAGGGUCCUUGUGUAAAAAUAAGACCAAUGAAAAGAGACUCACAGACUGAAAAACUCCUUAAACGUUGGAGAGAGCAAACAAAUGAGCCAAACACUUCUGAGCAAACGCGUCCCCUAUUGGAGGAUAUAAACACUGAAUCAAUGAGUCCAGAGGAAAUUGAGAGGAUUCAGAUUAGAAUGAGUAGAGUGUGGGCCACAUCCGAAGAGCCAAAACGACAUUCCCAAGCCGCUCACAUGAAAUGGGCCAAGGAUGUCAUGCGUUUGUACAUGGGCAACUCCGAGGAACAGGUGGAGGACCAAAACACAGGACCACGGGAAGAUCAAGGGGUCGCUGGAUCCGAGUACCACCAGGAACCCCAGGUGGUCUCACAAGUUAGCUUUGAUCUUCCCACUGUUAUACUGACAAGAGACGAUCACUUGGCGCCGGACCUGGAGGAGGAGUUAGGAGGUAUGAGGCAAGCUGAUAUGCAGGCUGAUCAGGCCACAGCUAUGCAUGUCGUCACAAACACAUACACUCAUACUGACACACGUCCGAGCACAGCAAUGAAGGAAGACCGUGCUAAAAACCAAACCACUGAACCGUCCAGUCAGGGCCAGUUAGACGAAGCAGAUAUAGACGAGUUAAGAAAAUCGGGCACGGAUGUUUACAUAGAAGAGGAAGAGGAGUGGUAUUUAACUGGUACCAACAUGCUGUACAAGCCAAACAGCUGUCCGACACUUUAUUGUGAUUUUGAGUCUGACUUCAAAACUCCCCCUACAAAGGCUAAGAGUAAAAGUGUGGUUGAUGAAAUCAGUCAGAGCGUAGAGGAGAGGCAAACUGAUAAGGAGGUUACUGAGGCGGAGGUGGAGAAAAUGAUAGGAGAAAUGGAAGAGGAAACCGAAGAGGGAGAGACAGACGCUGAAAAGAGAGCGGUGGCUGAGACAGACGCCUGCAGCGUGGAGGAUUAUGGUCCUAAAUCUCGCUUUCGAAGAAGAGGGAUCCGUUUACCUACUAAGAGAAGAAAUGGAGAGUGUGAAAAGGUGGAAGAGGAGGAAGGUGUUGGAAGAGAUCGCAGAACCAGAGUGUUCUUUACUACAGGUAAAGACAGAAAACUAUGUGUGAUCACUGGGAUCAUCUGUUCCAAUCCAAUUACCCUUCCCCAAAUCUACGAAACAGCCUCUCAGCCUUUCUUCCGUCUCCUUAUUUCUUUUAUCCCACGAGUGUGGCAGAUUCCUUUCAGACUUCAUUUCCUGGUUACUUACAGCAAUCAAAUUCACUGA
rnacentral:lncRNA from 1 species